rnacentral:rRNA from 1 species
UACGUAGGGUGCAAGCGUUAAUCGGAAUUACUGGGCGUAAAGCGUGCGCAGGCGGUGAUGUAAGUCAGAUGUGAAAGCCCCGGGCUCAACCUGGGAAUGGCAUUUGAUACUCUGAGGCUGGAGUACGGGAGAGGAGAGUGGAAUUCCCAGUGUAGAGGUGAAAUUCGUAGAUAUUGGGAAGAACACCGGUGGCGAAGGCGGCUCUCUGGACCGUAACUGACGCUGAGGCGCGAAAGCGUGGGGAGCAAACAGG